rnacentral:rRNA from 1 species
UACAGAGGUCCCAAGCGUUGUUCGGAUUCAUUGGGCGUAAAGGGUGCGUAGGCGGCGCGGUAAGUCGGGUGUGAAAUCUCGGGCUUAACUCCGAAACUGCAUUCGAUACUGCCGUGCUUGAGGACUGGAGAGGAGACUGGAAUUUACGGUGUAGCGGUGAAAUGCGUAGAUAUCGUAAGGAAGACCAGUGGCGAAGGCGGGUCUCUGGACAGUUCCUGACGCUGAGGCACGAAGGCCAGGGAGCAAACGGG